rnacentral:rRNA from 1 species
UGGGGAAUUUUGGACAAUGGGCGCAAGCCUGAUCCAGCAAUGCCGCGUGCAGGAUGAAGGCCUUCGGGUUGUAAACUGCUUUUGUACGGAACGAAAAGCCUCUCUCUAAUACAGGGAGGUGAUGACGGUACCGUAAGAAUAAGCACCGGCUAACUACGUGCCAGCAGCCGCGGUAAUACGUAGGGUGCAAGCGUUAAUCGGAAUUACUGGGCGUAAAGCGUGCGCAGGCGGUUUUGUAAGACAGUGGUGAAAUCCCCGGGCUCAACCUGGGAACUGCCAUUGUGACUGCAAGGCUGGAGUGCGGCAGAGGGGGAUGGAAUUCCGCGUGUAGCAGUGAAAUGCGUAGAUAUGCGGAGGAACACCGAUGGCGAAGGCAAUCCCCUGGGCCUGCACUGACGCUCAUGCACGAAAGCGUGGGGAGCAAACAGGAUUAGAUACCCUGGUAGUCCACGCCCUAAACGAUGUCAACUGGUUGUUGGGGAUUUAUUUCUUCAGUAACGAAGCUAACGCGUGAAG